rnacentral:rRNA from 1 species
AUUGAACGCUGGCGGCAGGCUUAACACAUGCAAGUCGAGCGGAGAUGAGGUGCUUGCACCUUAUCUUAGCGGCGGACGGGUGAGUAAUGCUUAGGAAUCUGCCUAUUAGUGGGGGACAACAUUCCGAAAGGAAUGCUAAUACCGCAUACGCCCUACGGGGGAAAGCAGGGGAUCUUCGGACCUUGCGCUAAUAGAUGAGCCUAAGUCGGAUUAGCUAGUUGGUGGGGUAAAGGCCUACCAAGGCGACGAUCUGUAGCGGGUCUGAGAGGAUGAUCCGCUACACUGGGACUGAGACACGGCCCAGACUCCUACGAGAGACAGGAGUGGGGAAUAUUGGACAAUGGGCGGAAGCCUGAUACAGCCAUGCCGCGUGUGUGAAGAAGGCCUUUUGGUUGUAAAGCACUUUAAGCGAGGAGGAGGCUACCUGGAUUAAUACUCUAGGAUAGUGGACGUUACUCGCAGAAUAAACACCGGCUAACUCUGUGCCAGCCGCCGCGGUAACAC